CCUACGGGUGGCAGCAGUCGAGAAUCAUUCACAAUGGGGGAAACCCUGAUGGUGCGACGCCGCGUGGGGGAAUGAAGGUCUUCGGAUUGUAAACCCCUGUCAUGUGGGAGCAAAUUAAAAAGAUAGUACCACAAGAGGAAGAGACGGCUAACUCUGUGCCAGCAGCCGCGGUAAUACAGAGGUCUCAAGCGUUGUUAGGAAUCACUGGGCGUAAAGCGUGCGUAGGCUGUUUCGUAAGUCGUGUGUGAAAGGUGCGGGCUCAACCCGCGGAUGGAACAUGAUACUGCGAGACUAGAGUAAUGGAGGGGGAACCGGAAUUCUCGGUGUAGCAGUGAAAUGCGUAGAUAUCGAGAGGAACACUCGUGGCGAAGGCGGGUUCCUGGACAUUAACUGACGCUGAGGCACGAAGGCCAGGGGAGCGAAAGGGAUUAGAUACCCGAGUAGUC
rnacentral:rRNA from 1 species